ncrna:unclassified sequences eL15-Euryarchaeota ribosomal protein leader
GCGGACGGGUGUCCGCUGGGAUGUAGCCUAUGGGCUGAACCAUAAA